rnacentral:lncRNA from 1 species
CAAGCAACCAAUUGUUUCAGUAACUUAGUAACGUUUGUCUACUAGGGAAAUGAUGGUGAACAUAUGGCAUGGGGGCCAAAGAUGGCACUCAGAGCACUCUCUGUGGGCACUUGGCCACCCUCACUCCCCACCCCACUCCAAAGUUUAUUACUAGGCAGAGGGACUCAAGAGCAGAGUUGCUUCCCUUUCCCUCUCCACUGAGCCUGAUGACAUUUUUUAAUAUCCCCUGCCCCUCUGCCCAGCAGCCCAAUGGGAGCACACAGAGGAUACUUGAAGACAGCUAUGUUGUCUCCAUUCUCUAAGUCUUCCCUUCUCCGGGCUAAACAUCUGAAGUUCUUUCAACUGAUCUUCAUGUGCCUCCAUCUUGUUUGGGCUACUUUUGGACAUCCUCUGGCUUUUAACAUCCUUCCAAAAAUGAGACAUUCAGAACUAAAUACAAGACUCUCCAGUGUAUUUUUUCCCCAUUUGAAUAGCUUCAAUCUUUUGGAAGAGAACCUGCCUUGGAUAGAUGAGAUAAUCUGCUCAAAGUCACCUAAGAAAUGAGUGCCAGAUCCGAGAUCCAAGAUGCUCAGGCCAGUGGUCUUUCCCUUAUGUCAC